AAGUCGUAACAAGGUAACCGUAGGUGAACCUGCGGUUGGAUCAUUAACAAAUGUUUAAAAAAUUUUAAAAAAAGGGAAUAAAAAAAAAGAAUUUUUUUCUUUUCUUUUUCCCUUUUUUUUUAAACAACCUUUGUGAAUUGUAAACUGUUACUGGUGAGUUUAAAAUGGGGGGGGUUAAUUUUCCACUCCAGGGUUUACUAUUGUGGGCUUAGGCUCAGUUUUGGUAUUACUCACUCACCAUUUUAAAACUUAAACAAUUUUUUAUAAUUUUUUAUGUCAUAUUUUAUUAAAAAAAAUUUAAUAAAAAACAACUUUUGACAACGGAUCUCUUGGCUCUU
rnacentral:misc_RNA from 1 species